ensembl:ncRNA VB0365.1 ncRNA
CCCUUGACUCUAAAGUAGACUCUCAUCAAAAGAUCAAAAUGUCAUGAUUUUCAAGGGAUUAGUUUAUACAUAGUUGUCACUUUCAAUAGUACAGUAAUCCCUUUAUGAGAUUUUACUGGAAGAAAUUUUGAAAGAGAAAAUGGGAAGGCCACCCAGAAAAGUAUUCGAAAAGGCUUCUCCUUUUCUCCCGCGCUAAACGGAUUUUCAUCUGUGGUUG